GACGAACCGAGCGAACGUUAUUCGGAAUCACUGGGCUUAAAGGGCGCGUAGGCGGUCAGCACAAGUCAGUUGUGAAAUCUCCGGGCUUAACUCGGAAAGGUCAACUGAUACUGUGCGACUAGAGUGCGGAAGGGGCAACUGGAAUUCUCGGUGUAGCGGUGAAAUGCGUAGAUAUCGAGAGGAACACCUGCGGCGAAGGCGGGUUGCUGGGCCGACACUGACGCUGAUGCGCGAAAGCCAGGGGAGCGAACGGG
rnacentral:rRNA from 1 species